GUCGGAGCUGUGGCUCUGAGGCGAAGGUGAAGUUUUACGACAGUGUGAAGGCGUGGCUUGAAGAUGAGCGCGGUAUUUUAACCACAAGGUAAACAGCAGAACAUGGUGGGGUUUGCCUACAACCCCAGCCCUGGGCAGACAGAGGCAGGAGGAUCCUUGGAGCUCACCGGCCCCUUUCAAUUUCAGGUCCUGAGUUCAAGUCCCAGCAACCACAUGGUGACUCACAACCAUCUGUAAUGAGAUCUGACGCCCUCUUCUGGUGUGUCUGAAGACAGCUACAAUGUAUAAUAAUAAAUAAAAUGUAUAAGAAUAAAUAAAUCAAAAAAAAACGAAAUAAAGAAAGGUUUAUCUCAUUCCUAUCAGGCAUCUCUGCCAGCUCCACAGCUGUCUGUGGCAGACUUGUGCUGUCUCUGGAGGCAUGUGUCCAGGGAGGGCUCCUGCAGGUCACUGUGAUGUCUGUCUGGUCAACCUGGCUGGCCUGGGGGGGCUUCUGCCCUCUUCACAGGGAAGGCUCCUGUGCCUAAACUGUUGGUACCAGGACACUCUUGCCCUCCCCUGGGAUCUGAGGUGUGGACACCUAAGAAGAGGGCCAUGUGUCCCCCACAAACCCUGUGAAUUCCCAGGAAGCAAGACUCCCCAUCACAGCCUGCAGCUGACGACAUGGGGCAUUCUUUGUGGCUGGUGGAAGUUUUAGGAUGGAGACAGACCAGAGGACUCACCUUC